rnacentral:rRNA from 1 species
UACAGAGGUCCCAAGCGUUGUUCGGAUUCACUGGGCGUAAAGGGUGCGUAGGCGGUCGGGUAAGUCUGAUGUGAAAUCUCACAGCUUAACUGUGAAACUGCAUUGGAUACUAUCCGGCUCGAGGAAUGGAGGGGAGACUGGAAUACUUGGUGUAGCAGUGAAAUGCGUAGAUAUCAAGUGGAACACCAGUGGCGAAGGCGGUUCUCUGGGCCUUACCUGACACUGAGGAGCGAAAGCGUGGGGAGCGAACAGG